rnacentral:ncRNA from 1 species
AGUUGCCACAUAACUUCGAGGAGGGUGCCCCCUCACCAAAAGGGGGUCACAGUGAGUAGGCUUCGACGACAGUUUAUCAAAAACACAGGGCUCCGCAAAGUCGUAAUAUCAUGCGUGGGCUUAGCUCCUGCCUAGUGUCAAAAGGUCAAGAAAAUUGAUGAACUGAUGACAGAGAAGCCGAAAAGUGAAGCGUUGGUGAACAGAAAUGUAGCUAUGACGGUUCUAACGUAACAAAAUUCCUUGUAAGAUAAGUUCUGACCCACAUGAAAGACAUAAAGAUGUGGGUACUA